GAUGAACGCUAGCGGCAGGCCUAAUACAUGCAAGUCGAACGGUGUCUUCGGACAUAGUGGCGCACGGGUGCAUAACACGUAUGCAACCUACCUUACAUUGGGGGAUAGCCUUUCGAAAGGGAGAUUAAUACCGCAUAAGACAGUAGCUGGGCAUCCAGCAGCUGUUAAAGAUUUAUCGAUGUAAGCUGGGCAUGCGUCCAAUUAGCUAGUUGGUGAGGUAACGGCUCACCAAGGCAAUGAUUGGUAGGGGAACUGAGAGGUCAAUCCUCCACACUGGCACUGAGAUACGGGCCAGACUCCUACGGGAGGCAGCAGUAGGGAAUAUUGGGCAAUGGACGCAAGUCUGACCCAGCCAUGCCGCGUGCAGGAUGAAGGCGUUAUGCGUUGUAAACUGCUUUUAUACAGGAAGAAACGACUCUUGCGAGAGGCAUUGACGGUACUGUAUGAAUAAGCACCGGCUAACUCCGUGCCAGCCGCCGCAGUAACAC
rnacentral:rRNA from 1 species